UAUUACCUUGAGAAGAGGUUGUUUAAAAAGAUUACUAUAGAAUUUGUAUAACUUUAAUUUCCUUUUGAUAGUGGCUUUGAGGAGGCUAUCCGAGGCCAUAUUAGAGAUUAGGGUCAGUUUCUCGAAGCCAUUCGAGUUUUUAAGGCUAGGGUCAGAAGAUUUAGAUUUUUGGCUAUGGUUUUGGUGCAAGUUUUGUAUCAUUUGGGGUUUUUAUGAAGAAGUUAUAGGCGCUCAAAGUUAAGGUGUUAGUUUUGGACCUACUGUUACUCUUUU
rnacentral:lncRNA from 1 species